rnacentral:rRNA from 1 species
CCUACGUGAGGCUGCAGUAGGGAAUCUUUCACAAUGGGCGAAAGCCUGAUGGAGCAACGCCGCGUGCAGGAUGAAGGCCUUCGGGUUGUAAACUGCUUUUAUAAGCGAGAAAUAUGAUGGUAACUUAUGAAAAAGCAUCGGCUAACUCCGUGCCAGCAGCCGCGGUAAUACGGAGGAUGCGAGCGUUAUCCGGAUUGAUUGGGUUUAAAGGGUGCGUAGGCGGGCUUUUAAGUUAGCGGUAAAAAUUCGGGGCUCAACCCCGUCCGGCCGUUGAACCUGGGGGCCUUGAGUGGGCGAGAAGAAGGCGGAAUGCGUGGUGUAGCGGUGAAAUGCAUAGAUAUCACGCAGAACCCCGAUUGCGAAGGCAGCCUUCCGGCGCCCUACUGACGCUGAGGCACGAAAGUGCGGGGAUCGAACAGGAUUAGAUACCCCAGUAGUC